rnacentral:rRNA from 1 species
UACGAAGGGUGCAAGCGUUGUUCGGAAUUAUUGGGCGUAAAGCGCACGUAGGCGGCCUUGUAAGUCUCACUGUGAAAGUCCGGGGCUCAACCCCGGGAGGCCAGGGGAUACUGCGAGGCUGGAGACAAGCAGAGGUUGGUAGAAUUCCGGGUGUAGCGGUGGAAUGCGUAGAGAUCCGGAGGAAUACCAGAGGCGAAGGCGGCCAACUGGGCUUGUUCUGACGCUGAGGUGCGAAAGCGUGGGGAGCGAACAGG